UCCCAGACAGAGAGGAGGAGAUGGAGGUAGAUGCAAAGAUUGAUAUGGAGGAGGAGAUGGAGGUGGAUGUGGAGGUGGAAGAAGAGAUGGAGGUGGAUGUGGAAGAGUCCAUUGAGGACAUGGACAUUGAUUAAAAAGGUGCGAUGGACAUCAUGGACAGAGAUGCCACCCUUUUGUACAUACCUUUUACAUUUUGUUGUUGUCUUAUAGGUUUUAGGGCUUUUUGUCUUCUGUAAAUAUGUUUCAUCUAUUUUUGCUAGAUAGGUUCUUAUGUAUAUAUGUUCUAUCGAUUGUUGUUGUUGCUAAUAUUCUUACAAUGUAAAUAUCUUCUGUAUUUUUGCUGCUGCUUUUCUGUAAUAAACAAAUUUUAUUUUUCACA